UACAGAGGUCCCAAGCGUUGUUCGGAUUCACUGGGCGUAAAGGGUGCGUAGGUGGCCUGGAAAGUUUGAUGUGAAAGCUCGGAGCUUAACUCCGAAAUGGCAUUGAAUACUACUGGGCUUGAGGGUCGGAGGGGAGACUGGAAUUCUCGGUGUAGCAGUGAAAUGCGUAGAUAUCGAGAGGAACACCAGUGGCGAAGGCGGCCUGCUGGGCUGUUGCUGACGCUGAGGCGCGACAGCGUGGGGGAGCAAACAGG
rnacentral:rRNA from 1 species